rnacentral:tRNA from 1 species
GGGCCUGUAGCAUAAUCGGAUAAUGUACCCGGCUUCGGACCGGGCGAUUGGGGGUUCGAGUCCUCCCAGGCUCG